rnacentral:lncRNA from 1 species
AGCACUACCUUUGCCCCUAGCACUGCCAGGGUGGCCUGACUGUUUGCAAGCACCCAGGUGAGACAGAAAUGCAGCCUUCAUCAGCCUAUUCCAAGGCCAGCUGUGCCUGCCAGCUGCUUCCUAGUACUGCCAGGAUGGCAGUAUUUGCACUAAUGAAAGCCCCACCAGUUCCUGAAGCCAUGAGCAUUUUAAAAGGUAAGGUGUUACGUACACUGAGAAAAAAAACCUGAAAAUACAUCUUGUAGAGGCUGAAGCCCUGGAAACUGAAAGGAUUUUCUCAUUCCUUGGGUCCAGCAGCAACAGCAUUUUGAAAUCAGGCUAAACUUCAGAUGCAUCUUGACCAACUGGAAAGGAGGUUUCCAGCUGUUUGCUGCUCUGGAGGGAGUGAAGGAGAAGAUCUAAGGCAAAGAAGAUUAGGAACCAGAAGCAAUUCUGAAAGUCUACAGCCUGAGUGCUGAAUCUGCAUAGUUUCCCUGGACAUCAGCAGCAGCCUUGAGGCAUCACCUGUGGAGACACCUGAAACAAGCACAUGCUUUAGAAAAAUAGCAGAUUGCAAACAGGAGUGUGCCUAAUGGUGGGGUUGGGUCUGCCAGUCUGCAGUCCUCAGCCAUACACUGAAGCAUGUAGAGUGAUAUCCAUAGACUUCCAUCUCAUGUCGGCAUUCCUGUUAUCAAGACACUCCCUCUGAAGCUAUGGAGUUGCAGAGCUGUUUGCAGGUGGUCCAGCUGACUCUUAUAUGAGGCAAUGACCUUCUCUGCACUGUAACAUACUGGUGCUGGACCUGGCUGUAUGUGAAUUCCUCGCAGACGAGAGUUAGGAGGAGCACUGACUACGUGGUACCCAGCAGCUAGCAAAUUGCAUACCUGCUCUACGUGGGAACCCAGCAGAGCGGGAUGGCCCAGGGCCUCAGCAGAGAGCUUCCUGGGAUCUCGGCCAUAUGGCACACUGCACUGGUUACUCGUGAAGAGGUUCACUUGAGGCUUUCCUAUACAUGUGGUUAACAAGACAGUCUACUUCUUCAGCAGGUUUCAAUUAGUGUGGCUGCUCUGUGGGCGGCACUGGCUCAGUCUGGCAGCUUUGCCAAUGGUCUCAGUUGGCUUCUCUUACUUUUGCUUGCAUGACUCUGGGUCUUCUGCUGCUGAUAGAAGAAACGCCUUUUCUGACUGCACUGCAAGGGGCUCUGGAGACACCUGAGCUGUAGGUAGCGUACAGCUGGCACAUCUGAAUGUAAUGCCAGUCAGCAAGCUGGGAGAAAGGACUGCUAUCAUCUUGGGUGUCCUCAGGGGAGGAAAGGGUGAGUGCUCUGAAACUCUUCCUAUUCCAGCUGUGUCUUUUCCCCUCCACGGAGCCUGAGCCUCCAGGAGGCUCCUGCCCUGAGCAAAGUGGCUGGGGAUGAGGGUAAAGGGCUGCUGUAAUGGGGAAGUCCAAGGGCUACCAUAGAACCUUCUGCCCCCCCCUCCCCCCAAGAGCCAUGUCCUGCUGCAGCGGGACUUGAGCAGCCAUGAGGAGAGGAGGAACUGAAGGUCUGAUCUGGGUGCUCUGACUCACUACUCAGCUGAGCAGGAAGCAUGAGGGGACUCAACUGGUGUGAUCAGGAAAACAGCAGGAGCUGGCUUUUUGAGAAGGAACUGGAACAGAGAAACCUUUGUGCUUCCUGCAGGCAUGUGGUAGGGAGAAGGGACGGUUUUAGACCUGUUUUAUUGUGGUGAAAAUUGAGAGGGUCGUGCCGCCAUGCUUGGCGCUAGCUGUGUAGGUAGCUGUCGUGGUGGUGGAGGGGAGGUCAGUGUGUGGAGUGACACUUGUUGCUCUUUGUCACACUGCUGGCAUUCUGUGAUAGGUUCCAAAAGCAUUCGGAAAUCCCAAACAGAGUCAGAAAUUAAAAACGGGUGGUGGUUUGUGGUUCAUAUGACAGAAGGCAUAAACCAGCAGGGAAGUGUGUACAGGUGACAUUGAGCCACUGGCUGUAGUUUUAAAUGCUGAAAUAAGCGAUGCUGAUUGUUUCACGAAGCCAAGUUCCUCAUCCAGCUAUUACAGAGCUGACAUUUGGGAAAUCAGAUGCACGUGUAGCCCUUACGGACAGACUCUGCUUUGCAUGAGCUUUGCUGAGAUUUGCACCGCCAGGCAUCUCACUUCUGUUUGUCACUGUGAUUGCCUUCUUGGCAAUGCAUCGUGCCAUUUACUGCCCCUCAUGUCCUUAACUGGAAUUAGCUGCCACCCCCUCUCCCAAUGGCUCAAUCACAGCUCUCCAGCAGCUCAGCUCCUUGUUUCCCUCUGCUGCCAGCCUACUCUGCAAUCACCUUUGCAGUAAGAACGGUUUUGCAUUGGUGUCCCUGUCUCCCUCCCAAAGAGCUGCCUAGCCCUGUCCCCUCAGCCAUGGAAAAACUAUUUUCAAACACAAGAGCAAAGAGGAAGACUUUCAGCAGCUGUAAAGCUCUACUUUUCCUGGGAGGUGCUCUGUCAUUGCCAGCUGCCAGGGAUGUCAGUGAUUUUUGCUGAUGAUGGGAGAAUUGCAUUUGAACUAAAGAGGCAAAGGGAUUAUCUUUAAGCUAACACACUGAAUGAGUACUGCCCUCAUUUUUGCUGCACUGAGGCCCCUCAUGAUCACAAACAGCUCCUUUCCCCUCUGUAGCACUUGUACAGAGGGGAACUGACCGCAUUUAACAGGCCAACGUAGUCUGAAGUGAGGUUUGCAUGAGAGCUACAAUGCCUAAUCCCAGCCUGGCAAAUAUAUACUGUUUGAUGUGCUUUGGGCAGUCUUUUGCAGGUGAGCAUUGCAAUGAACAGCGAGAGCAUCUGUAAGUAUGUGUGCUACUGCCCUUUGUGUUGAGAUGGUGCCACGAGGCCAGGCAGCUGACCUGCCUCCCACAGACCAGAGAGUGCUGACACCACACAUGGUGUCCUGGCAAACAUUUGGGUUAGAAAUGUCUGUAUUAGCUGGCCAUGUGGAAGGGAGAUGUAUUGCUGCUGUGCAACUGAGGGCAAAGAGACAGCCCCCAGCACUCAUGCAGCUCAGGAUCUGCCUGCAGCACAGCUCAGCACUGUGCUGUCAGGGGGCAGAGCUGAAGGCCCUGUCAGCCUCACGGCAACACAGGCAGCUCAACCCCAAGUGGAGCAGGUGGGACAGAAGGUCCCCACCGCAGCCAUCGAUGUGCCCAACCAAACCCUACUUCCCUGUGCCAGACACUCAAUGUCAAAUCUCUCUUCGAGAGACCGCAGCAGAAAAUCUGAGAAGCAGGAAAGCAUCAUCUGUGCCAGCUGCAGGAGGAUUAGGAGACCUGCCCAGUGUGUGAGUGAAGCCAAUAGCAGAGUGAGAAGCAAAUGCAUGAUGAGUGACUCAGGCUCCAGGCUGGCCCAGCCCAAGGGGUGUGAACCUGCAUCACCUCUUGAGCAGCUCCAUCCCACCCAGGGACCUCUUGCCAUCGUCCCAUCAGGACUGAUGUGCUGCCAGAAACCAGAAAUAGUAUCCUGAAGAAGAAAAAAAAGUGUGUGUGGGGGGAGGGGGACGUUUGUGCUGUAUCAAUGUGUUCUGGUUUGGGUUUUUCAAAACAAAAUGCUUCUGGCCUUUGCUUGGAAAAGGAUUUUCAGCUUUAUUUGUGUGCAAAAGCGCUGAUUAUGUGUUACAAUGGAAGGAGUCAAAAUCAAAAGGAAAGGAAAUAGAACGCUGAAAGAGACAACGGCCUGGAGAAAAACCAACCCCAGACAGCUGGGAAAUCCCAGCUCUUUGUCUGCAGAUAGAUCUGAAAAGACCAAGGGGUUUUUCCUUUGAUUCUCAGGUUUGCCCUGAAUCCAAAUGAAAGCUAAUACUGGUAUAGCUGACUUCUGCGAAGAGAAAACAUCCAUUUUUGAUUCUCUUUCCAUAUUUCCCCCCCCCCCCCCAUGCUCUGCCUGCACAUGAUGCAGCCAAACAGGAAUUGGAGAGAGACGAAGAAAAUUUUCAUAAACACAGAAAAUAAAUUGCACACAAACAUCAAACCAAAGCUGGUGCAUUGUUAGCAGUGCUUUUCCAGAGCCUUGAUAUUUCCUGAGGACUCUCAUGGGUCUGCGGUCUCUUCCACCACAUCAAUCCCAGUACGUUGUAUGCUCAUUAGCCCGAAGAGCAUGCUCAUAUUUAUGGGGUUGGGAGUGGCACGAUGAGCUCCGUUCCCAAAGGUGGAAUAUUCACUGUGUGCUGCCAGACAUCAUGGUAAUUUGGGGUGUGUGGGGGCUGGAGGGCACAGCCCCAUACUUCGCAGCCUGCUGUGGAGCUCCUUGCUGCAAGUCUCAGCCCUCCCAGCAUGGCACGUGCUGAUG